GACGAACGCUGGCGGCGUGCUUAACACAUGCAAGUCGAGCGGUAAGGCCCUUUCGGGGGUACACGAGCGGCGAACGGGUGAGUAACACGUGGGUGACCUGCCCUCAGCUCUGGGAUAAGCCUGGGAAACCGGGUCUAAUACUGGAUAUGACUCCAUGACGCAUGUUGUGGGGUGAAAGCCUUGUGCGGCUGAGGAUGGGGCCCGCGGCCCUAUCAGCUUGUUGGUGGGGUGANGGCCUACCAAGGCGACGACGGGUAGCCGGCCUGAGAGGGCGACCGGCCACACUGGGACUGAGACACGGCCCAGACUCCUACGGGAGGCAGCAGUGGGGAAUCUUGCGCAAUGGGCGAAAGCCUGACGCAGCGACGCCGCGUGAGGGAU
rnacentral:rRNA from 1 species